AGCAGCCGCGGUAAUUCCAGCUCCAAUAGCGUAUAUUAAAGUUGUUGCAGUUAAAAAGCUCGUAGUUGAACUUCAGGCCUGUCCAGAUGGUCCGCCUUAAUUGGUGUGUACUGUCCUUGGGUGGGUCCUACCUUCUGGCGAAGCGGCAUGGCCUUAGUUGGUUGUGUUGGGGAACCAGGACUUUUACUGUGAAAAAAUUAGAGUGUUCAAAGCAGGCAUAAUAUGCUCGAAUACAUUAGCAUGGAAUAAUGGAAUAGGACGAUGGUUCUAUUUUGUUGGUUCUAGGACCGUUGUAAUGAUUAAUAGGGAUAGUUGGGGGCAUUAGUAUUCAAUUGUCAGAGGUGAAAUUCUUGGAUUUAUUGAAGACUAACUACUGCGAAAGCAUUUGCCAAGGAUGUUUUCAUUAAUCAAGAACGAAAGUUAGGGGAUCGAAGACGAUCAGAUACCGUCGUAGUCUUAACCAUAAACUAUGCCGACUAGGAAUCGGGCGAUGUUGACAAAAUGACUCGCUCGGCACCUC
rnacentral:misc_RNA from 2 species